GGGUUCACGGUGGAGUGCCUCCGCGCCCCACAGGAGCGCCCCGGGAGCUGAUGACCCGGGAUUGCAGGCUGCGGCUGAGCCUGGGGCCGCGCGCACAAAGGCACGGGCGGGAAGGGAGCCGGCACGGGGGAGUGCAGCGUACCUCGCCCGGCAACCGCUCGGCCACUCCGUCUCCGCGUGCUGCUCGCUGGCCGCCGCCUGGGGAACGCGGGUCAGAUCCGAUGCGGGGCUUGUGCCACAGUUGCUGCCGGGGAUCCCGCGCCGCUCAGCCGACCGUGCGUUCAGUGCACCCACACCGCGUCCGCCGGCUGGGCUCCGAGUGCGCUGGCUAGAGGCGCGGCGGCGGCGCGGCCACUCCCCUCUCCCGGCGGGGGCGGCGACCUCACCGCCCGGACGCGCCCCUCGCUCCCUGGCCGCGGUUCACCCAGGCGCGCAGGCCGCACAGCGCCCCCCGGUGAGCACCCGGCGGGCGGGGACACCCAGGAAAGCGCACUGGCCCUUCACCUUGGCCACUGCAUGAUCCGCGAACUGCAGACCAGAGAUGCAGAGCCGAACAGCUGCAAGAGCCUGGGCGCGAACCUCAGCAGAGAGAAUAUUCUUCUCCACAUUGCCUACCCUCCUAGGUCCAAGUUUGGGUGCCCAAAAAUAUCACAAAAUGACAAUUUAAUGGAAGAGAAAAUGGCCUGCCAUGUGAGGCUUUUAUUGUCUCUGUCACUGACAUACAUAUUGAAUAUACCAUUAGGUACUGAGCAAUGACUGGCAAUCACUUGGCCAUGGUAGAGGGUCUGAAGACUCAGGACUCCCAGCUUCUCACUCCAGGUGUCUUCACCACGCUGGGAUUCGGGACAAGCCACAUGACCCUGGGUCUGGCUUGUUCCUGGAAGAGCACAGGCCCCAGGACUUCUCAGAGGCUACCAAGACCCUCCUCUACAAACUGACCUGCUGGGAAUUCUAGCAUCAUUGACGGAACCAGCAUCAGUUAGGUCUUCAGUCGGCAUGGUAAUGGUUUAAGCUAACAUAUUUUGAGUAGUGGAUACAAUUUUAUUUAAUCUUCACAAAAACCUGUGAGCUUAUAUACAACUAUGGAGAACCUCCACAAAUUCUUUGGUACACCUCUCAUUGAGGAGUGCCAUUUGAUUGCCCUCCUCUUGAAUACAGGCUGGACUGAAUUCUAACAAAUGGGAUACAGUUGGUGGUAUGACCAACCCAGCUCUCUCUCUCUCUCUCUCUCUCUCUCUCUCUCUCUCUCUCUUUCUCUCUCUCUCUCUCUCUCUCUCUCUCACUGUGAGGGAGCACACAGAAGCCAGGUAUAGCCAUAUAUUCCAGACUAAGAGUGCCCGCAUCUGCUCACUGUCCCAGCCAUGUGGCUGUGUGAGCCUUAAAGUUGACUUAGUCACAGUCACCUUAUACUACAUGAAGUAAGACCUAGAGUGAAACCCCAGCUAACUCAAGUCAGUCUCCAGAAACAUGAAGUGAAGGAGGGUUUGUCAUUGGUGACUUGGCCUAGUGGUAGCAUAAAUGAUUGCCUCCACCACAGCUGACCAAACAAGCUACCCUAGACCUUGAUAACUUAGUACAGUAAAGACACCGCUCUCAGCUUCCAGAGAAACAAAAUAUAGACCUACUACAUGGCAACAUGUUUUAAUAUGUGCCAGAUCUUUGGUUCCAUCUGCUUAUAGCAACUGGGCAGCAACAGGACCUCUGAACCCUCCUGGCCAAUCUAUCUUCUUCAAAAUACAAUGACAGGUUCAUAAACUAUAAGUCAGUGGCUUGCAGAGUAGGGACAGGAAACUUUUGAGUCAGGAGUCUGUGUAUCAUAGACUGGCUUCAAACUUACUGUAGCCUAUGAUGAUUGAACACAUCUCCUUUGCCUGUGCUCACCUCGAGUGCUUAGGACUGCAUGCAGACCCCCUGUUCCAUGCAGUGCUGAAAAUAAGUCCAGGCCUUUACAUGUGCUCAGCAGGCACUCUACCAACUCAGGUGAAUUCCCAGACUAAAAACUUUUGAUUGCCAGAUUUCGGUGAAGAGUUAAGGCAAUGCUCAGUGCUCUAUUUGGAGCAAUAAGAGGAAGUCUUAAGGAUGCCUGCCCUAAGGAGAGAUGGGAACCUAGCUAGGCUAGAAUACUUCUGAUCUCUUGUAGCAGGGAAAACUGAAGCUUACUUCCUGCUUUUAUGUAGUUCUUUAAAAAAAAAGUACUAGGAACUGUUGGCUUCAUCUAAUAAAGACUGAGAAAAUUAACCAAGAAACUACUAGAAAACCUUGCAAAGAUCAGCCCCAGAGCAUGUCACAAUUAUUUUUAAAAACACUAUUAGCCUAGUUUUCAUAAACCCCAAGCUUUCUGAAGACAGACUAUAACAUAAGGGUUUGAAAUCACUUUACCUUCCUGAUUGUACUUCUUAAAAGCCAAUCAAUCAAGAGAUUUUAAGAAAAGAUUAAAGCUGUCCUAACAGUUGUCAAAAGUUGAUAAAUCCACCAACUACAAAGUCUUCCCCCCCCCCAAACUUUCUCUUUGGUCUUUUUGGAGGAAAUAGAAUGUAUAAAGAAAGACUAUUGGUAAGAGUUCAAGGUGGAAAACAUAAAUUAGCAAGUCCCAGGAGUAAAGGCAUCUAGGGCCUGAGCUUCACCCAACAGACCAGAGCGCAGGCUCCCACAACAGUGGAGAAUUGCCAAGCUGUGUCAAGCAGAGAAUGAAAGUGUUCAUGCCUGUAGGAUUUCUUCUCUUUAAAAACAUUUUUAGGAGCCAGGGAGAUGGUUCAGUGGGUAAAGCACUCUGGCAGGUCUGCUAACCUAAGCUCAACUCUUGGAACCUAACUAAACUGAAGGAGAGACAGGACCCCAGAAAGUUGUCUCCAAACUCCCCAAGUGACCCCUGGAACUCCAGUGCCUCCCCCAACAAUAACAGUAAUGAAUAAGUAAAGUUUUUUUUUUAAUAGCAUAAAAUGUUUUUCAAGGAGUUCGAAAGAAAAGUGACAGAACCGCAAAACCUGUUCCUGCCUUAUUUUGGCAUUAGAAAGCACAAGCGUGGGCUAGAUGUCAGAAUUUCAGAGUUCUUCGGUGUUCCUGGUUGAGCUGGCUUUGCAACUUGAGCCAGAAGACUCACUUCUCUGCCUCUGCUGGUUAGUUUUUUGUCAACUUGACACAAGCUAGAGGCACUUGGGCAAAAGAGACCUAAACUGAAAAAAAAAAAAAAAAGUCCCCCCUGGAUUGGCCAGUUAGGCAAGGCUGUGGGGCAUUUUCUUGAUUCUUGAUUGAUGUGAGAGUGUCCAGCUCACUGUGGACAGUGCCAUCCUAGGCUAGUGGUACCAGGCACUACAACAUAACAAGCUGAGCAAACCAUAGGGGUCAUGCCAGGAAGCAGCACUCCUCCAUGGCCUCUGCAUCAUUUCUGCCUCCAGGUUCCUGCCCUGUCUUCCCUCCAUGAAGCUGAAUAAAUCCUGUCCUCCAAGUUGCAUUUGGUCAUGGUGUUUUAUCACAACGAUAGAAAUUGUAACUAAGGCAUCGUCUUAAUCUUUUAUAACUAGCAGAGAACUUCUGGCUGUGCCACAGUCUCUCUCCUCAUCUGCCCACUUAAAUGCUUAUUUUAUUUAUUUCAAGCUCAUGUGGAGCUGAGCAUGUGUGAAGCCCUAGGCUCAUUCUUAACAGUGUAUGAAACAGGGGUGAUUAGUGCAUCAGCAUGCAGUUCACUCAGGAGGUGAACACAGGGAAAGCAGAAGUGUCCAGUCAUCCGAGGCUACACAGUGAGUUAGGAGCCAGUCUGUGGUACACAGACUCCUGUCUCAAAAGUUUCCUGUCCCUAUUCUCAAAGCUUAUUCAAAGCUCAGACUCCUCUUUUCCUGAACAGGGGUGCUAAGGUAAAUCCUGCUGUCUGCAUAAAUCCAUCUUGAUCCUGCAUUUGUUCAAAGUUGUGAACUCUACAUGCUUGUAUUCAUUUGAAGGUUGGCUUCUCUAACUGAGUAAUAUCAACCUGCAUAUCAGACCAGCCAAUCAAUCUGCAAACACCAAAUCCCUGGAAAUACCACUUUUUACACCCAAGAAAAUGUCUUAGUUAUUAUUUUAUUGU